rnacentral:lncRNA from 1 species
AGUACCAGUUUCUCGUCGCUCCUUUCAAGGUGGAUGGGAAAGCUCGACACAGGAUGGCGUCUGGCGCGCCAUGGAGUAGCAUCAUUGUCCGGAAGGCCUCCAGGUGGUCAACUGGGUCCGAAGUCCCAUCGUAGCUUUCAAAUUGAGGAAGCUUGAAGUUUGGCGGGAUCAGUUCCUGCAUGAUCAUUUGAGAGAAGGGAGGGUCAGUACAAAUUUCCUCACCAUAGACGGGGUGAGCGUGGCGGAGUUCUUCGAUCCGACGGUUCAUCUCCUGGAGUCUUCGAUUCAGAAAAUCCUCUCGACUAUGAGUCUCGAGAUUUUUCUGGCAGAAUGGAGGUAG